GUAUGGUUGGUGUCUUUACCUGUUGAGGCGUGAGACUUUCUCCCGUCGUCCCUCGCUGCGUCGGUCCUUUCAGAUUUCUGGGUGCACCGUUGUCAAACGUCGGGUUGGGUCAUUAAGGUCAUCGUCAUCUCCACGCACCUCGGCACAGUAGGCGUUGUGUAUCUCUUCCCAGGUGGUGGGGGGAUAUUUCUGGAGACAACUAAGCAGUUUCCUAGUUGCCCUUGAGCCAUUUCUGCUGAGUCUGUUCUGAAAGGCUGCGACUGCCAUGACUUCGGACACGUUUAGUAGGCUCAUUAUGACUAUGUUGAACCUGGCUAAGAACUCCC
rnacentral:lncRNA from 1 species